CCUGGCGGCACUAGCGCGGUGGUCCCACCUGACCCCAUGCCGAACUCAGAAGUGAAACGCCGUAGCGCCGAUGGUAGUGUGGGGUCUCCCCAUGUGAGA
rnacentral:rRNA from 1 species